rnacentral:rRNA from 1 species
UACGUAGGGUGCGAGCGUUGUCCGGAAUUAUUGGGCGUAAAGAGCUCGUAGGCGGUCUGUCGCGUCGGUCGUGAAAACUUGGGGCUUAACCCUGAGCUUGCGGUCGAUACGGGCAUGACUGGAGUUCGGCAGGGGAGACUGGAAUUCCCGGUGUAGUGGUGAAAUGCGUAGAUAUCGGGAGGAACACCAGUGGCGAAGGCGACUACCUGGCCUGUUCUUGACGCUGAGGCGCGAAAGCUAGGGGAGCAAACGGG